GACGUAGGGCGCAAGCGUUGUCCGGAUUUAUUGGGCGUAAAGAGCUCGUAGGCGGCCUGUCGCGUCGACCGUGAAAACCCGCAGCUCAACUGCGGGCUUGCGGUCGAUACGGGCAGGCUCGAGUUCGGUAGGGGAGACUGGAAUUCCUGGUGUAGCGGUGAAAUGCGCAGAUAUCAGGAGGAACACCAAUGGCGGAAGGCAGCACUCUGGGACGUGACUGACGCUGAGACGCGAAAGCGUGG
rnacentral:rRNA from 1 species